rnacentral:rRNA from 1 species
GUACUGGAAGAGCACUUGGAUUAGAGACCCUACUAUGUACUGGAGAGUGCACUUGGAGUAUAGAGGCUACUAUGUGAUGGAAAAUGCCCUUGGAUAAGAGAAACCUUCUCUCGCAGCACACAGCCUAUAUAGCGCCGUCGUCAGUUCGCCUCCUGAGAGCCACGCAGCGAGCGAAACACUCCAACCACUAACACGUCAGGUCAAGGUGUAGCUCACGAGAAGGGAGAGAUGGGCUACAUUCUCACCACACCUGAGCACACCAACAGCAACAUGAAACUUUUAGCCAAAAGGUGGAUUUAGCAGUAAAUCGAACAAGACAUGCUCGUUUGAACCCCGCCCCGAGACGCGUACACACCGCCCGUCACCCUCAUCAAAACAAUGCCACCACACCAAACCCUCUUUACCAAACCAACCCCGCCUAGAUGAGAUAAGUCGUAACAUGGUAAGUGUACUGGAAAGUGCACUUG